GGUCCCAUAGCUCAGUUGGUUAGAGCGUCGUACUAAUAUCGCAAUAUUCGCCAUAUCAAGUAAUGCGAAGGCCGAGAGUUCGAGCCUCUCUGGGACCA
rnacentral:tRNA from 1 species